UUGAUAAAUGAAGGACCCCCUUUCACCCCCUGCCCCCCAGCAGCGGUGCCUGAUGACAGCAUUUAGGCCAAGCGCAGGACUCAGCAGCAUCUGCUUUCAGUUCCCAUUCUUGGCAUAUUUUCAUGAAUAAUUCUUGCAGCACCAAAGAGCAGGAGCGGGUAGGUACCCUGGCUGUGCUCUGCAUUCACAGGCCACAUGGCAGGCACAGCAGAGCACUGCAGGCUCAGUCCAGACAGCGACCCACAGGGGGCGCACACACCUGCCACCAAGGGCACAGUGAUCAGGUUCAUGCUCACUUACAGGCAGGUCUGGACACUGGCCAGGGGGCCACACUUGUGAGCAUGGUGUAAAAAGUAUAAUUUGUUGUUGUUGUUGUUGUUGUUGUUGCUGUUGUUGUUGUUGCUGCUAUUUCUUGGGCCACUCCCGCGGCAUAUGGAGGUUCCCAGGCUAGGGGUUGAAUCGGAGCUGUAGCCACCGGCCUUCGCCAGAGCCACAGCAACUCGGGAUCCGAGCCGCGUCUGCAACCUACACCACAGCUCAAGGCAACGCCGGAUCGUUAACCCACUGAGCAAGGCCAGGGACGGAACCCGCAACCUCAUGGUUCCUAGUUGGAUUCGUUAACCACUGCGCCACUACGGGAACUCCAAAAGUAUAAUAUUUUUAAGAAAAAUUGAUGUACCUUAAAAUUCAAAGUGAUUGGUUUAUUGGUUUUUAGUAUUUUUAUUCAAAUGGUAGUGCAACCAUCACUGUUCUCUAGUUCUAGAAUUUUUUUGAUCACUCUGAAACCAAAAAAAGUCCCAUACCCUUUAGCAGUCUCUUUCUGUUCUCUCUCCCCAACCCCCUCGCAAUCCCUAAUCUACUUCGGUCCCUAUACAUUUAUCUGUUUUGGACAUUUCAUAGCAAUGGUAUCAUACAAUAUGUGACAACUUAUGCCUGGCUUCUUUCACUCAGCAUAAUAUUUUCAAGAUUCAUCCAUGCUGUAGUUGGUGUCAGUGCUUCAUUUCUUUCUGUGGCUGAAUAAUCUUCCAUUGUGUGGAUGGUAUCCCCUUUUGUUUAUCUCUUCAUGAGCUGAUAGACAGGUGGGUCAUUUCCCCUUUGGGCUGUUACGGAUAAUGCUGAUGUGACUAUUUGUGUAUCAGUUUUUGGGUGGACAUACAUUUUCAGUUACCUUGGGAAUAUAUCUAGGAGCAGAAUUGCUGGGUCACUCUUGGGGUUCAGCUCUUUGAGGAACCACCACUGUUUUCCACAGAGGCUGUACUAUUUUCUAUUCCCACCAGCACUGUGUAGGGUCUCCAAUUUCUCUUCCUCCUCAUCAACUCUUGCUAUUGUCCACUUUUUACUUUGUAGCCAUGCUAGUGGGUGUAAAAUGAUAUCUCAUUGUGGUUCUGAUUUGCACUUCCCUAAUGACUGAUGAGGCUGUCUUUUCUUGAGUUUAUUGGCCAUGUGUAUAUCUUCUUUGACGAAACGUCUAUUCAAAUCUUUGUCUGUUCUUUAAUUGGACUAUUUGUCUUUUUAUUGUUGAGUCAUAAUAAUUGCACUUUUUUUGCUCGAUGUACGUUCUUGACCAACAAAACAUUGUAAAGUGAUUAUUCCCCCCCCAACGAUGAAAAUAGCCCAGGCUCAAAGCAAGAAAAGGCCAAGCGCCAGAAAAUGCAGGAUGCAUUAGCCAAAAGAAGGUAGUAGAAUGAGGAAGGUCAGGAAGAAAAAUGAAGUAACUUUGUUUUAAAGCCAAAACACUGCAAGGCAGUUCACUGAGGCCUCUGUACCUGUGAGGUCCCAUAGAAGGCACUGUUCAAACAAGGACAGCGGCAUUGGCAUCGGUGCCCGUGCUGCUCCCCAGAGCCCUGCCGGGUAAAUGCAUCUACACACAUUUACACACACAGUGCCUGGAACAUGCUGAGAGAACUCUCCUGCUGUCGAAAGCUGCAGCAAGUACACGAGAGGCUCACACCGCAGUUCUGACAGCGCAGGCCUGCAUAGUAUUUUAGCUUUGAAACUCCUCAGCACCAUAUAAAAAAUGUUUGGUUCCUGAAUGAAUCAGCAAGUCAAAGAUGAGAUUUCGAGGUCUCGUAGAGAUCUGGCCUUUCUUCUGUGUUGUUUUGGUUUAUUGUAGGAACCUGAUGAACCACAUGGCACAAUUAUUUGUUUAUUUUUUUUAGCACAUUUUGCUGUAGAUGCAUUGCUUUGCACCAUUUCCACAGACGUCUUUUGAAGUUCUGGACUGUUCUCGCCUCCUGGCAGGAGGGACCUAAGCUACAGGUGGCCAAGUCCCCACUCCCUGUAGUAUUUGCAUAGCUAGUGCAAGGACUAAAGAUCUGUCACUGAGCUUCCCUCGGGGUCGCAGCGCCCACCCCAGCCCGGGGGGCAGGGGGCAGUUAGACUAGCAGAACUGCCCAGAUCCUGCCUGCGCUGGCUGCCUCUGGCUCAGGUCUCCUCCAGCAGGUGGACAGGACCAGCGGCCUUUGACCUGGCUCAGUGGCCACAGGGUCCCCAGAGCAACAGACGCCUUUGCAAAUUAGUUUCAAACUGCGGAGGAGAAAAGGAAGGAACCGUUGGGGUUCUCAUUUUUCUGCCCUCCCAAGCUCCAGAGGCCCACCCCCUCCCCACCUGAUUUGCAUCCUCAGCUCAAUUUGCAUCACAAAAUACACCCAAACUUCCCUGGACCCGCUGCCGUAGGCGGGCAAGUUGUGUUUUUUUGUUUUGUUUGGGUUUUUCAUCUCCUGCCAUUUCUCUAGCAGGUUUCUGGUUACAUCCAGAUGACACUUAGAUUAGGUUUCACUUUACGUCCUUGGCCUGUGAUUCAACUAGCCCCUCCUCCUGGGCCAGAGCCCCUGCAAGAUCAAGCCCCAUCCCAGGGCCAUGGCUUGGGAGGCAGCCCUGCAGGCCAUCCUGCUUCUCACACUCACUCGCGCCUCUUCACGACCCGUAGGCCCUGCAGCUGUGUGUCCUUCAGCGAGACACUCCAGGGUUGGAGCCUUUUUUUUCUUUUUUUCUCUUUCCUUUUCCCCCAAACCCGGAAUCAAUAUUUUGGGAGUAAAGGUGGGGAAGGGAGGGGGGAGAAAGAGCCACAGGAGACAGAGGUUUGCAGUCACCCAAAGUGGCUCAGUUCUCCAGACGGAACCCUCCAGACUCAUUCAGCACAAAGUGGCUGCAGAGGAAAUCCUGCCAGGCCAAUGAUAAGGGGGGAAAUGGAGUCACUUCCUUACCAGCUGCUUUAUUCAGGUAGGAAAAAAAAGUCCUCACUUCCUCGCGUGUGCUCCGCUGGCCACCACUCUUGGCGGCCCAGCCGCCUGCUUCCCCUUUUGAUCUCUGCCACGGCUGGUGUCCAGAGAGUCACUGCCUCCCGGGCUUCAGGAGAGCCCUCUGUGUGUGUCCGCCUUCUCCCCUCCACUUCCUUUUUUCUCAAUCUCUCCACACUCCCUCUUCUCCCAGUGGUUGCACUGCAGUUGCUGUGUGCCGUUGGAGAAACCCUAGAUAGUACUUAUUGGGAAUGAGUGUCACACCCUUGCUGGAAUCCAAGACUAGUGAUCACUGGUGGUCCUUAUGUUCCCAUGAAUGUCCAGGAGCGGCUGGAGGCCUUUGAUCACCUCUCCUGCUCUAUACAACAGGGCACCACCGCUGCCUCUCUGGUCAAUGCCUAAGCUUAUUGCUUUUCUAUCUCCAGGCAGCAGUCUCCGUCUUUAUAACCCGGUAGGAAUCUCCCUGACAGAGGGAUAAAGGGCCCGGUGAGUCUGAAAAAUACCCCACAGCUUAUCCCUCCCUUGGAGACUCACAGGGCGUAUGGGUGGGCCUGCUGUUCAAAAUGAUUAACCACCAACAUGGCACAGAUGAUGACCAGUCAGAUCCAGCACUGACGGCCAAGAACUGGCUGAAUGUCAGUUCCUCACCAGGAAGACAGUAGAGUCUGG
rnacentral:lncRNA from 1 species